CUCCAUGUCACCUCUAGGUGGGCAUCUGACCCACAGCAGGUUGGCACCUCUCCCCAGAAUCAGGUGUGGCAACGCUGGGACGCAGGGCCUGGCAGGGCAUCGGUCACAGGGCCAGCCUGGAGGCCUGGCAGUGGCCAUGGGACUUGGUAAGACUGGGUUUUCACCUCCUGGUCACCUGCCGCUGUCUGUGCUCACUGAAGAAAGAAGCCACUUGGGGAUGGGACCCCGGGCGUGGCUUCUGUUCUGAAGCAAGUGGAGCGGAGACGUUCUGAGGGGCGGCUCUGGAGCGUGGCCAGGAGUGCUGCCCUGAAGAGCCCAGGGUCUGAAACGGGAGCCUAUCUGGUGCUGCGCUUGCUGGGGGGCAUCCCAGUGCAAGGCUGGCUGCAGCCUGGGGGCCACCUCCUGAGAGCAUCUGCAGAGGGCUGGCCACCGAGGCCACCUCUCAGCCUCCACCAGCCUGGAGGCCUGGGAGAACAGCCAAUGACCAGGAAGAGGCCAGGUGCCCAGCACUGAGCCCCGAGCCAGCUUGCAGUGGGUGGCCACAGGCUUCCACCCGCAGGCUGCUGCCUUUGCCCUGAGACCACCUGCUCAGGCUGCCCAGAGGACCACGUCAGCUCUGGAGCUCCCCAGCAGGGCUUGGGCCUCAGAACAGGACACCAAGAAGAAAUCUCCAGCAACGGGCAGGUGUGUCUGGGAAGAUGCUCUGCUGCCCCAGCGGGAGGUGCUGCCAGAGGCUGGGGGAGACCCACUGUGCUCAGCCUGUCCUCCCAGGGCCCUGCAGGCUGACCCCACUGAUUUAUCCUGGAGAGAGCUGGGAGGGAGCCAGGCUUGCCCAGGUCCCAGGGUCCUCAGGACGUCCAGUGGACAGACCUCUCCUGUGCUGUCCCCGGCAGUUGGCAGGAGCGGGACUCAGUGGGCACACAGCACAGCCCACCCUGGCCCAGGCCUGGGCAUGGAAGGGCUUCGGGGAGGUGCCACCCCUGCACUCUGCCCGGAGGGUCCUUUGGAGCAGAGUGUCCCUUUUGAUCAUCCUGCCAUCGCAGAGUGGAGGCCCCCGGCAGGGACUCCAGGCCUGCCUUCCUGCCACCACCCCAGUUCCCGCACACCAGGGCGUGUGCCCACCUUGUCCUGGGACUGGUAUGCUGCCACUCACCCCCGCCUCCCUGACUGAACAGGCCUAACUUCUCCCUCUCAGGGCCCUCCACAGCUCACCUCCAUCUUUCCCCAACUUCUCACCCUCCCAACCUCAGGCCCACGCUCACCUGUGUUCAUGGUGUCACCCGGAAGGCCAUG
rnacentral:lncRNA from 1 species